rfam:[Clostridium] litorale DSM 5388 strain W6 CLIT_24c, whole genome shotgun sequence.
UUUAUUAAGAGUUUGAUCCUGGCUCAGGAUGAACGCUGGCGGCGUGCUUAACACAUGCAAGUCGAGCGAACAAAGCGAUGUGAAGCCUUCGGGUGGAUCAUCGCGGCGUGAGCGGCGGACGGGUGAGUAACACGUGGGUAACCUGCCCUGUACACUGGGAUAACGCACCGAAAGGUGUGCUAAUACCGGAUAAAGUGAACCUUUCGCAUGGAAGGAUCACCAAAGCUCCGGCGGUACAGGAUGGACCCGCGUCCCAUUAGCUAGUUGGUGAGGUAACGGCUCACCAAGGCGACGAUGGGUAGCCGACCUGAGAGGGUGAUCGGCCACACUGGAACUGAGACACGGUCCAGACUCCUACGGGAGGCAGCAGUGGGGAAUAUUGCACAAUGGGCGAAAGCCUGAUGCAGCAACGCCGCGUGAGCGAUGAAGGCCUUCGGGUCGUAAAGCUCUGUCCUAAGGGAAGAUAAUGACGGUACCUUAGGAGGAAGCCCCGGCUAACUACGUGCCAGCAGCCGCGGUAAUACGUAGGGGGCAAGCGUUAUCCGGAAUCACUGGGCGUAAAGGGUGCGUAGGCGGCUGAUAAAGUCCGAGGUGAAAGGCUACGGCUUAACCGUAGUAAGCCUUGGAAACUUAUCAGCUUGAGUACAGGAGAGGAAAGUGGAAUUCCUAGUGUAGCGGUGAAAUGCGUAGAUAUUAGGAGGAACACCAGUGGCGAAGGCGACUUUCUGGACUGUUACUGACGCUGAGGCACGAAAGCGUGGGGAGCGAACAGGAUUAGAUACCCUGGUAGUCCACGCCGUAAACGAUGAGUGCUAGGUGUCGGGGGUCGAACCUCGGUGCCGCAGCUAACGCAUUAAGCACUCCGCCUGGGGAGUACGUUCGCAAGAAUAAAACUCAAAGGAAUUGACGGGGACCCGCACAAGCAGCGGAGCAUGUGGUUUAAUUCGAAGCAACGCGAAGAACCUUACCUGGACUUGACAUCCCUUUGACCGCUUCUUAACCGAAGCUUUCCCUUCGGGGACAAAGGUGACAGGUGGUGCAUGGUUGUCGUCAGCUCGUGUCGUGAGAUGUUGGGUUAAGUCCCGCAACGAGCGCAACCCCUGUCUUUAGUUGCCAGCAUUAAGUUGGGCACUCUAGAGAGACUGCCGAGGAUAACUCGGAGGAAGGUGGGGAUGACGUCAAAUCAUCAUGCCCCUUAUGUUCAGGGCUACACACGUGCUACAAUGGGCGGUACAACGGGCAGCAAGCUCGCGAGAGCAAGCCAAUCCCUUAAAGCCGUUCUCAGUUCGGAUUGUAGGCUGAAACUCGCCUACAUGAAGCUGGAGUUGCUAGUAAUCGCGGAUCAGAAUGCCGCGGUGAAUGCGUUCCCGGGUCUUGUACACACCGCCCGUCACACCAUGGAAGUUGGGGGCGCCCGAAGUCAGUUAUCCAACCGCAAGGGGGAGGCUGCCGAAGGUGAAAUCAAUGACUGGGGUGAAGUCGUAACAAGGUAGCCGUAUCGGAAGGUGCGGCUGGAUCACCUCCUUU